UGAACGCUGGCGGCGUGCUUAACACAUGCAGGUCGAACGCGAAAGGGACUCGGUCCUGAGUAAAGUGGCGCACGGGUGAGUAACGCGUGGAUAAUCUGCCCUUAUGAUCGGGAUAACAGUUGGAAACGGCUGCUAAUACCGGAUACGCUCAAAAUGAACUUUUUGAGGAAAGAUGGCCUCUGCUUGCAUGCUAUCACGUAAGGAUGAGUCCGCGUCCCAUUAGCUUGUUGGCGGGGUAACGGCCCACCAAGGCAACGAUGGGUAGCCGAUUUGAGAGGAUGAUCGGCCACACUGGAACUGAAACACGGUCCAGACUCCUACGGGAGGCAGCAGUGGGGAAUAUUGCGCAAUGGGCGAGAGCCUGACGCAGCGACGCCGCGUGAGGGAUGAAAGGUUUUCGGAUCGUAAACCUCUGUCAGAAGGGAAGAAACUACGUUGUGCUAAUCAGCAGCGUACUGACGGUACCUUCAAAGGAAGCACCGGCUAACUCCGUGCCAGCAGCUGC
rnacentral:rRNA from 1 species